rnacentral:lncRNA from 1 species
CCCUAGAGCCCCAUGCUGCACUUACUACAAAACGUGCUGAAUAGGUCCAAUAUCCCCCCAACCUCCAAAGAGGAAUUGCUGAAAACCUCCAGCAUUCUUCUCCUCCUACACUAUAAGGGACCCUGGACGCCGUUGAUCCGGCCUUGUAGCUUGGAGUUGACCAAUUGUCUGAUGUAGAAAGAACUUGUCAUAAUAAUUAAAAUCUUACCCCUCUCCUUCAAUUAUAAUCGAAUCACCCCAAGUGAAAACCUCAGGAUACUUUUAAUAACUAAAUAAAAAGGAAAAAAACGUGGAUCUACAAAGGUAGUAAACAAAAAAUAGUACAUUCUCCAUCUCUAUAGUACUCCCUGGUUUAUCCAACAAAUAGAAAUCAUUUUUCUACACUCAAUAUAUAUCGCAGGAACCUAUUUAAAGUCCUGGAUUCAAUUAUUUUUGAUGUUUUGUAACCUACAUACAAUAUGAUUUGAUGCCAAUAUUUCUAAUAUUUAUUCAAUGGAAACGGAGUAAUUUGAUGUUUUUGACAGAUAUUUCAUAUACCUCUUCUCAGCUACAUUUUCUCUUAAAUACAGCAAAUAUGGGUUAUCCCAGCUUGAUGUAAUUUCUUCAGGGGAUUGAUGAAAGUAUUAUCCACUACCUUGGUAUUAGUCAAUUUCUGAUGAUCUUAAAUACACUUAUAAUUUUUCAAAUGCUCUUAAAAUGUUCGAUUUAUGAAUAAAAUAUGUAUCAU